rnacentral:rRNA from 1 species
CCGGGUGAGUAACACGUAUGCAACCUGCCUGCCACAGCCGGAUAAUCGGGAGAAAUUCCGUCUAAUACGGCAUAAUGCAUCGACGGGACAUCCUGGUUGGGUGCCAAAGGGUUGAUUCCGGUGGCGGAUGGGCAUGCGUCGCAUUAGUUAGUUGGCGGUGUAACGGACCACCAAGACGACGAUGCGUAGGGGUUCUGAGAGGAAGGUACCCCCACACUGGUACUGAGACACGGACCAGACUCCUACGGGAGGCAGCAG